AGGCAGUGUAGUUAGCUGAUUGCUGAUAGUACCAAUCACUAACCACACGGCCAGG
ensembl:miRNA